rnacentral:rRNA from 1 species
UCCUACGGGGGGCAGCAGUGAGGAAUAUUGGUCAAUGGUCGGGAGACUGAACCAGCCAAGCCGCGUGAGGGAUGAAGGUACAGAGUAUCGUAAACCUCUUUUGUCAGGGAACAAAGGCGGGGACGCGUCCCCGGAUGAGUGUACCUGAAGAAAAAGCAUCGGCUAACUCCGUGCCAGCAGCCGCGGUAAUACGGAGGAUGCGAGCGUUAUCCGGAUUUAUUGGGUUUAAAGGGUGCGUAGGCGGAGUGUCAAGUCAGCGGUAAAAUUUCGGGGCUCAACCCCGUCGUGCCGUUGAAACUGACACC